GAUGAACGUUGGCGGCGUGCUUAAUACAUGCCAGUCAACUGAGGCAGUGGUAGCAAUAUCGCUGUGGAGGUGGCGCACGGGUGAGUAACACGUAGGUAAUCUGCCUUCAGGUCUGGCAUAACUCCGGGAAACCGGGGCUAAUAGCAGAUGAUGCAGCGGCUCGACAUCGAGACAGUUGUUAAAGCUAUGGCGCCUGAAGAUGAGCCUGCGUCUGAUUAGCUAGUUGGCGGGGUAACGUCCCACCAAGGCAACGAUCAGUAGCUGGUCUGAGAGGAUGAUCAGGCACACUGGAACUGAGACAAGGUCCAGGCUACUAAGGGAGGCAGCAGUAAGGAAUAUUGGCGAAUGGGAGAAAUACUGAAGCAGCAACGCCGAGUGAGGGACGAAGGGCUUUUGAUUGUAAAACUCUGUAGUGAGAGAAAAAAAACCAAAUCUUUGGGACAUGAUGGUACCUAAAAAGUAAGCCCCGGCUAACUACGUG
rnacentral:rRNA from 1 species